rnacentral:misc_RNA from 1 species
GAUGAAGAACGUAGCGAAAUGCGAUAAGUAAUGUGAAUUGCAGAAUUCAGUGAAUCAUCGAAUCUUUGAACGCACCUUGCGCUCCUUGGUAUUCCGAGGAGCAUGCGUGUUUGAGUGUCAUUAAUAUAUCAACCUUCUCUUUUUUGAGUUGUUUGGAUGUGGGGGUUUGCUGGCCUCUUAAAUGAUUCAGCUCCCCUGAAAUGCAUUAGCAGAACAACCUGUUCAUUGGCGUGAUAAUUAUCUAUGCUAUUGAAUGUGAGGGCAGUUCAGCUUUCUAACCGUCCUUGGACAAUUCAUCAUUAAUGUGACCUCAAAUCAGGUAGGACUACCCGCUGAACUUAAGCAUAUCAAUAAGCGGAGGA